UUAGAUUUUAUUUAUUAAUUAUUAUUAUUGAUUUUUAAAUUAUUAGAAAUAACUAUAAAUUAUAAAGUUUUAGUAUUGUUUAAAGAAAAAAUAAUUUUAAUAAUAGUUUAUUAGUAUUGUAAAAGAAAAUUGAAAUAAUUUGAAAAAAUUUUAAUUUAAAAGAAAAUUUAAUUUAUUGUACCUUGUGUAUCAGCGUUUAUUAAAUAAAAAAAUAAAUAUUUAUUUUUCUCGAUUUUAAAAGAGUUAAUAUAAUAUAUAAGUUAAUGUAGUAAAAUUAUUUAAAAUAUUAUAUUAGAAAUGAAAUGUUAUUCGUUUUUAAAGGUAUCUAGUUUUUUAAGAAAUAAAUUUAAUUUAGAAAUUAUAAAUUUAUUUAGUUGUUUAAUUAAUUAAAUAAUUUAUAAUUUUAAUAUUUUAUGGGAUAAGCUAUAAAAUAAAUUUUUAAAAAUAAUAAAUAAAUUAAUAAAUAUAUGCUUAGAAUUAGCAACUAUUAAAAAGUUUGUUAUAAUUUAUUUUAUAAGUUAAAUUAUUUAUUAAAUUUUAAAUAUUUAUUAAAAUAUUAAUUUUAAUUUUUAAAAUUAAGUAAUAAUGAUAGAAUUAGUAUAUAGUAUUGUUAAAAUAAUUGUAAAUGAAAAGUUUAAAUAAAG
rnacentral:rRNA from 1 species